rnacentral:rRNA from 1 species
UUGAUCCUGGCUCAGAUUGAACGCUAGCGGGAUGCCUUACACAUGCAAGUCGAACGGCAGCACGGACUUCGGUCUGGUGGCGAGUGGCGAACGGGUGAGUAAUGUAUCGGAACGUGCCCAGUAGCGGGGGAUAACUACGCGAAAGCGUAGCUAAUACCGCAUACGCCCUACGGGGGAAAGCAGGGGAUCGCAAGACCUUGCACUAUUGGAGCGGCCGAUAUCGGAUUAGCUAGUUGGUGGGGUAACGGCUCACCAAGGCGACGAUCCGUAGCUGGUUUGAGAGGACGACCAGCCACACUGGGACUGAGACACGGCCCAGACUCCUACGGGAGGCAGCAGUGGGGAAUUUUGGACAAUGGGGGAAACCCUGAUCCAGCCAUCCCGCGUGUGCGAUGAAGGCCUUCGGGUUGUAAAGCACUUUUGGCAGGAAAGAAACGUCGCGGGUUAAUACCUCCGCGAAACUGACG